rnacentral:rRNA from 1 species
GGGGCAGCGGUGGUGAAGGCUUGCCUUUACCAGCCGGCGACCGGCGCACGGGUGAGUAACACGUAUGCAACCUGCCUGCCACAGCCGGAUAAUCGGGAGAAGUUCCGUCUAAUACGGCAUAAUGCAUCGACGGGACAUCCUGUUGGUGCCAAAGGUUGAUUCCGGUGGCGGAUGGGCAUGCGUCGCAUUAGUUAGUUGGCGGUGUAACGGACCACCAAGACGACGAUGCGUAGGGGUUCUGAGAGGAAGGUCCCCCACACUGGUACUGAGACACGGACCAGACUCCUACGGGAGGCAGCAGUGAGGAAUAUUGGUCAAUGGGCGGGAGCCUGAACCAGCCAAGUCGCGUGAGGGAUGACGGCCCUAUGGGUUGUAAACCUCUUUUGCCGGGGAGCAAAGUGCCGCACGUGUGCGGUUUGGAGAGUACCCGGAGAAAAAGCAUCGGCUAACUCCGUGCCAGCAGCCGCGGUAAUACGGAGGAUGCGAGCGUUAUCCGGAUUUAUUGGGUUUAAAGGGUGCGUAGGCGGACGCUUAAGUCAGCGGUAAAAUUGCGGGGCUCAACCUCGUCGAGCCGUUGAAACUGGGUGCCUUGAGUGGGCGAGAAGUACGCGGAAUGCGUGGUGUAGCGGUGAAAUGCAUAGAUAUCACGCAGAACUCCGAUUGCGAAGGCAGCGUACCGGCGCCCAACUGACGCUGAAGCACGAAGGCGUGGGUAUCCUUUAAGGUUAGAUACCUUGGUAGUCCACGCGGUAAACGGAUGAAUGCUAGUUGUCCGGGGCGAUUGAGUUUUGGGUGACACAGCGAAAGCGUUAAGCUUUCCACUUGGGGAGUACGCCGGCAACGGUGAAACUCAAAGGAAUUGACGGGGGCCCGCACAAGCGGAGGAACAUGUGGUUUAAUUCGAUGAUACGCGAGGAACCUUACCCGGGCUCAAACGCAGGAGGGAUGUUUUUGAAAGGAGGCAGCCAGCAAUGGUCUCCUGCGAGGUGCUGCAUGGUUGUCGUCAGCUCGUGCCGUGAGGUGUCGGCUUAAGUGCCAUAACGAGCGCAACCCCUACCUACAGUUGCCAUCGCGUGAUGGCGGGCACUCUGUGGGGACUGCCUGCGCAAGCAGUGAGGAAGGCGGGGAUGACGUCAAAUCAGCACGGCCCUUACGUCCGGGGCGACACAUGUGUUACAAUGGCAGGUACAGCGGGAAGCCACCCGGCGACGGGGCGCGGAACCCGAAAACCUGUCUCAGUUCGGAUUGGAGUCUGCAACCCGACUCCAUGAAGCUGGAUUCGCUAGUAAUCG